UAACCAAUGAUAAACCCUUACACUUAUUAUCCGCCCGGGUACUACGAGCAUUAGCUUAAAACCCAAAGGACUUGGCGGUGCUUAAGAUCCACCUAGAGGAGCCUGUUCUAGAACCGAUAAUCCCCGUUAAACCUCACCCUUUCUUGUUUAUCCAGCCUAUAUACCGCCGUCGUCAGCUUACCCUGUGAGGGAAUUACAGUAAGCAAAAAUGGCACAGCCUAAAACGUCAGGUCGAGGUGUAGCAUAUGAAAGGGGAAGAAAUGGGCUACAUUCUCUAAUCUAGAGAAUACGAAUAAUGUAUUGAAACAUGCAUUUAAAGGAGGAUUUAGUAGUAAGAAGAAACUAGAGUGUUCUACUGAAACUGGCCCUAAAGCGCGCACACACCGCCCGUCACUCUCCCCAAACAUAAAUAUUAAUCCUUUAUUAAAACUACUUAAUUGUAAAGGGGAGGCAAGUCGUAACAUGGUAAGUGUACCGGAAGGUGUACUUGGUAAAAU
rnacentral:rRNA from 1 species